GAGACAUCUCUUUGAAUGUGAUCAUCAAAGAAUACAGUACACCUACCUACCUCACAGUUUUCACAGCAGUUUAAGAGCCAAACUUUGGCUGGCACCUGGUUUCAAGUUAUAAACCUACUUCCUGUCAUAAAGAUAUGAGAAAUUUGCGAGGUCUCUUCAGAAUAAAGGGGAUGCCUGUUUGAUCCUUGGUCCAGGAGGAUUCCACGUGCCUCGGGGACACUGGGGCCGUGCACCACAGCUGCUGAGCCCACGCUCCUAGAGCCCGUGCUCCGCAACGGAAGAGGCCCCCACAGUGAGAUGCCCACGCACACCAGCUGGGGAGUGCCCCCCUUGCUGCAAGCACAGAAAG